GGAAGUUAAGAAAUUGUUUCUUAACUUUUAACUAAAAAAACUAAGAACCGGUUCUUAAAGUCCUUAUUUAAGAACUGGUUCUUAAAGUCUUUAUUUAAGAACCGGUUCUUAAAGUCCUUAUUUAAUAACCGGUUCUUAGCUUUUUUAGUUAAAAGUUAAGAAACAAUUUCUUAACUUCC
rnacentral:pre_miRNA from 1 species